rnacentral:rRNA from 1 species
CGCGUAGGCGGUUUGGUUAGUCAGAUGUGAAAGCCCCGGGCUUAACCUGGGAAUUGCAUUUGAUACUGCCAGGCUAGAGUGUGGUAGAGGGAAGCGGAAUUCCGGGUGUAGCGGUGAAAUGCGUAGAUAUCCGGAGGAACACCAGUGGCGAAGGCGGCUUCCUGGACCAACACUGACGCUGAGGCGCGAAAGCGUGGGGAGCAAACA